CAGGCUUGAGUCUUGUAGAGGGGGGUAGAAUUCCAGGUGUAGCGGUGAAAUGCGUAGAGAUCUGGAGGAAUACCGGUGGCGAAGGCGGCCCCCUGGACAAAGACUGACGCUCAGGUGCGAAAGCGUGGGGAGCAAACAGGAUUAGAUACCCUGGUAGUCCACGCCGUAAACGAUGUCUACUUGGAGGUUGUGCCCUUGAGGCGUGGCUUCCGGAGCUAACGCGUUAAGUAGACCGCCUGGGGAGUACGGCCGCAAGGUUAAAACUCAAAUGAAUUGACGGGGGCCCGCACAAGCGGUGGAGCAUGUGGUUUAAUUCGAUGCAACGCGAAGAACCUUAC
rnacentral:rRNA from 1 species